GUGAUGGAGGAGGAUAUAUAUUGCUGUGUACUCGACGAGCGGGUGAGAGGUGGUAAAUUCUCCCUGAGCUGGCACUGCUCUCCAGCCUGGGAUGUUGAUUGGUUAGUCUUCAACUGCCUCCCAACAUGGUAAUUAAUACAGAUGGGACAACAAGAUACCUAGUGCCAUUUAAAAUGGCAACUGUUAAACUGGUGGUACAGAAUGUGGUUUGGAAAGUCCAGAAGUCCCUCUGUCAGUUGCUUAAACAGAAUCAGGUGA